rnacentral:rRNA from 1 species
GACGAACGCUGGCGGCGUGCCUAAUACAUGCAAGUUGAGCGCUGAAGGUUGGUACUUGUACCAACUGGAUGAGCAGCGAACGGGUGAGUAACGCGUGGGGAAUCUGCCUUUGAGCGGGGGACAACAUUUGGAAACGAAUGCUAAUACCGCAUAAAAACUUUAAACACAAGUUUUAAGUUUGAAAGAUGCAAUUGCAUCACUCAAAGAUGAUCCCGCGUUGUAUUAGCUAGUUGGUGAGGUAAAGGCUCGCCAAGGCGAUGAUACAUAGCCGACCUGAGAGGGUGAUCGGCCACAUUGGGACUGAGACACGGCCCAAACUCCUACGGGAGGCAGCAGGAGGGAAUCUUCGGCAAUGGACGAAAGUCUGACCGAGCAACGCCGCGUGAGUGAAGAAGGGUUUCGGAUCGGAAAACUCUGUUGGUAGAGAAGAACGUUGGUGAGAGUGGAAAGCUCAUCAAGUGACGGUAACUACCCAGAAAGGGACGGCUAACUACGUG